rnacentral:rRNA from 1 species
UACAGAGGGGGCAAGCGUUAUUCGGAAUUAUUGGGCGUAAAGGGCGCGUAGGCGGCCUGGCAAGUGGAAGGUGAAAUCCCUCGGCUUAACCGAGGAACUGCCCUCCAAACUGCUUGGCUUGAGUCCGGGAGAGGUGAGUGGAAUUCCCAGUGUAGCGGUGGAAUGCGUAGAGAUCCGGAAGAACACCGGUGGCGAAGGCGGCCUGCUGGGCUAUGGCUGACACUGAGGCGCGACAGCGUGGGGAGCAAACAGG